GACGAACGCUGGCGGCGUGCUUAACACAUGCAAGUCGAACGGGAAGUCCCUGCUUUGGUGGGGUGCUCGAGGGGCGAACGGGUGAGUAACACGUGAGUAACCUGCCCUUGACUGUGGGAUAACUUCAUGAAACUGGGGCUAAUACCGGAUAGGAGCUCCUGCUGCAUGGUGGGGGUGGGAAAGAUUCGGCGGUUGGUGAUGGACUCGCGGCUUAUCAGCUUGUUGGUGUGGUAGUGUCUGACCAAGGCUUUGACGGGUAGCCGGCCUGAGAGGGUGACCGGCCCCAUUGGGACUGAGCUACGGCCCAGCCUCCUACCGGAGGCAGCAGUGGGGAAUAUUGCACAAUGGGAGGAAGCCUGAUGCAGCCCCGCCGCGUGCGGGAUGACGGCAUUCGCGUUGUAAUCCGCUUUCGCCUGUGACGAAGCGUGAGUGACGGUAAUGGGUAAAGAAGCACCGGCUAACUACGUG
rnacentral:rRNA from 1 species